rnacentral:rRNA from 1 species
CCGAGAUGAGUUCUCCCUGACCCUUUAAGGGUCCUGAAGGAACGUUGAAGACGACGACGUUGAUAGGCCGGGUGUGUAAGCGCAGCGAUGCGUUGAGCUAACCGGUACUAAUGAACCGUGAGGCUUAACCUUACAACGCCGAAG